CUUGGCAACAAGAAUUUAGGCAGGAGAAAGCAAACGAUUGAAAAGGCCCAUACUUUAUACUCUUUGUACCUUGGAAAGCUGUUGUCUUUGGUUGAAGAUGGAUUACUUCAACUACUUUGAGAAUUUUAAUGACAAUUACCUUGACUAUGACUACAAUGCUGUUUUUACGGAGGUUACUCCUCUCUUCCAGCCAGCUGUCAUUUUAGCUGCCUCAUAUUUGAUUGCAUGGAUUGUAGUAUGGAUAGGCUUCCCACUCACCAUGCUAGCAAUUUGUGCAUUUCACUCACAGAUUAAAGAAGAAAAAGUUGCACCAGUCUUUGUUGUCAAUCUCCUACUCUCUGAGCUCAUCCAAAUAUGCUGCUUGUUGGUCUGGAUUCUAAAACCUGACAGUUAUGAGGCAAUCAGUAUUUCUAGACUGAUCUACUAUGUUGGUGUGAAGGCCAGUGUUGGCUUCAUGAUGAGUGUUGCCCUAGAAAGGACUCUGGUCAUUGCCUGGCCAUUGUGGUAUCGCUUCAAACGAAGCAUAAAAGUCUCUGUGGGGAUCUGUGCUGCAGUUUGGGUCAUAAGUCUUAUUGAGUCUCCUAUUGCAUCGUUUCUGUCUUAAGUUUACAAGCUGGUUUUAAGAUCCACCUUCUUCUUUCUCUCCAUUCCACUUCUCAUCAUUUGUCUAGUUGGGACAUUUAAAGAUUUAUCUGCUGCUAAGUCUGUCCCUCCAAGAAAAAGACUCAGGUUAGUUGUGAUUUUGGUGCUGGUGUUGAUGACUUGCACAGUGUUGCUCAUGUCCUUGGUCAUCCAGCUCCUACAAAGUAGAUUCGGAUCUUCAGAAAAUGUUGCUGAAAAAUAUCAUAAUGUCUCACCUGUAUCAUUCAUUCAGUUCAUUCAACAUAGAGAACUGGUGGUUGAAAACCCGAUUGCUUGUAAGAGUUGAUUCAACAUUUUGACAAAGGAAAAUGGUGAACACAUGUGCUACAACUGAAAAUGCAUGAAAUGAUUUUUCCUGUAACUGACUGAUUAAAAAGUUGGGUUUUACAG